AUAAAUACAAUGAUUUUAUGGAGUAAGAAAAUGUAUCUGUUCCAUAACUCCAGCCUGAACUCAGCCCAAGAAUUCGUCUUGCAAAACAACUACUUGUACAAACGUGUUAGGUACCUAAGCUUUUAAAGAGAAAGGGUAGGAUAUCAAAGAAACAUAUUUCUGGACUAAAAUGAUGCUGUUUUAUUCACAUAGCUUCUGGUCAGCUCCCCUCUCUCAUCAUUGUCUGGCAGUGGACCCCUUGGCUUGUACACAGUGAGCUGUAGUAGCUCCGGUGUCAUCAAAUGCACAGCAUGCAAACUUACUGUGAACUCAAAACGUGUAUUUUUAGAUGAUUAACUUUCUAAUAUAAGACAGGAAAUGACUUCAGCCAAUACAGAGACAACACAGCUGAGCACGUGGCUGGCAGGUAUUGCUGUUACUUGGAUUGAGAGGAGACGUGCUGGACAAUCCUGCAGCAAUGGCAAAGUACAGCCUAAAGGACCCAGGAGCUGGCUGAGGACCUGCGUGGUGCCCUGUGCAACACCCCCCAUACAGAAUGCAUUCGUCCAAGGGGCAGAGAAGGACUCCAGCAAGAAGUGAGCAUUCAAGUGCUUUUAAAAAGCAGCAGCACUAGUCAGCCUAACUAGUUUCUUUUUCAGCAUACAGCAAGAAUCAAGCACCUGAGGAGUAGUGCCCUCAGUUGAAAACUCAAGGCUGGCCACCAGAAGGUCCCUGCCAGUGCCUUGCACUACUAUGAAGGCUCCCAACAUCAUCAGUUUUCCAUGGGAAAGCAAGGUGCCUCACUUGCAACCAUGCCCCAGAGAAGAGGUAGAGGGCCAUGUCCAGAUUGCUCCAGCCAGAAGAAACCUGCCUGUCUGCUGUGAUGCAGAUCUACUGAAUGGAAUAAAUGCCUGUUAAGGGUUGGCCUGCAGGACUUGGAGAUACAUUCAAAUGAAUAAAAUAUCAGGUAUGUUUUAACUGUAACACUGACUUGGACCAAAAAAACUCAACUAAAGAAAUGUGCGUUUCAGAUGAUGGCUGUUUGACCACGGCCUUCUAAAAUUUUGUAACGUGGAAUAAGGAGCAGACUGUUGUAUAAUUCCAGCUGUAUGGACUUCUCUGUCCUCCUUCAAUCCAUACAGUAUAGGACGUUGUUUAAGAACUGCUUUAGGUAAAUAACUGUGCUUUCUCGGUAUUACAGAAUUCAAAUACUUGGCAUGUUCUAAAUGCAGUUUGGUCUGAUCAUUAGUUUUUUUUGCUACUAAUGUGUUUUAUUUUAUGCACUUAUUCCCUAUUUCAUGUACUUAAGUAGCUCAGAGAAAUGAGCAACCUCAAGGCACACACACUCCUUGCAGAGUACAGGACCCAAUCCAGUACACAUUGUAGGAAAAAAUUCUGAAUCCUUUGGCUCCACCUCUAAGAGAAAAUUCAAGUUUCUGAUCUAUGACAGCUGUUAGUACUCCGCUGAACAUUUCAUGUUCAAACCUGUACUUUGAAAAUUUGUGUCAGCUUUGCCACAAGCUUCACGAGCCAGAUCUGGGCACUGCUGCUCACCAGAUAGAGCAGACUCAAAUGUGCCCCUGGGUUUGGAUGGCAGAACUUCCAGCACCGUGUGCCACAUGCCAAUGAAGCACAACAUAUCCACUCUAUGCUCAGGUUAUCUUUCAACCACAAAGCAUUGUUCUGCAACGGCAAUUAAUGCUGAGGAGGAGUAGGAACCUUUCUGUGCAUCUAGGAGUAGUUUUUCCAACCUGGCCCCCUAAGGAAUGAAGCUGAUAUGACUGAUAACACUUUGCCUGUUCAAUUCUGAACAAAUUUAAUAGGUUGAAAGACAUUUCCUGUAAGUUGCCUGGAAAUAAACAGUCAAGUAAAGGAAAACAGUUACAUGGAUGUUUCCAGUGAGGAGAAGAUUGCAGCCUGAGCUCAAAUUUUAUUGCACAUUAUAAAAUCUAUUCCACAGAGAGCUAGUAUGUGUGUCUUGAGUAUGAAAAUCUUCAUGCACCCUAUCAUAGGUCAUGUAAUUGCAAUGUGAGACAGAAACCAUAAUCAAUUAGUAAUGCUGCUCCUUAAACUAUUGACGUUUAUCUGUCAAUUAAAAUCUUUGUAUGAAGUCUAUAUCAUCUUUUGGCAUCAUUUUUGGUACUAGACUGCAUGUAGCAAACUGAUUGUUUUAAAAUGCUUAUUGUAAAUAUUUUCCAUGGCUCUCAACCUGAUAAGGCAGUGACAGGGAAUGCCUGGUAUUUGGGGCAUCCUGGAGGGGUGAAAAUAAAUGAUGGGUCUCACCCCAGUGGUGCCCUUUGAAGAGACCCUCGUUAGCCAGAUAAUGCUAUGGGACAGUUGUGGUUAAAUCCCAGUGGGGCUUUUGGAGUGUCAUCCACAAAAGCUUUGCUGAGAGCAGAAGUAAUUAGUUCCAGCUGAGCACACAGGCACAUAACUUUAGAAAGGUCUAGCUACUUUCAUGCUAAGAGGGGAAAAAAACAAAGGUAUUUCUGUCCAGAAGGCAGGAAAACAAAGGUAUUUCUGUCCAGAAGGCUCUGGCAGUGGAGAACAGCCUUUUUUAUUUUGUUUGGUGCUCAGCUGGGUGUGUAUUAGGGGCAUAAGGACAGGAGCUUCAGGAUGGAAUUGCAUUCACUGCCUGCAAAAACUACGUUCCUAUUCACUGGGUAGCAGGAUUUCCACAGAACACUCUGCAGAAGUUUCUCAGCUUCACAAGGAAGGCCUCCGAGGGCACUUUUCAGCAGCCCAAGUGCUGACCUUCCUACAGGUGUUCACUGUGUGCUAGACAGUUCCCAGGGACAUAUGUAAAGCUCUCUCUUAGGAGGUUUUCAUAAAGCUUCUAAUCUAAACAUCGGUAUCACUGUGGUUUUUAUGUAUAUCUUUUUGUGUUCUGGCACCUGAUAAAAAUUGCAUUUUGGGGGAGUGAAUGUCACCUGGUGAUACCACAGCUUCCACUGAGGAUGUGCUUGAAGUGGAGUUCAUCCUCAGGUUAUAUGUGGGCUCUUCUU